rnacentral:rRNA from 1 species
GACGAACGCUGGCGGCGUGCUUAACACAUGCAAGUCGAACGGGCCCGCCCCUGUUUUUGGGGGUGGGUUGAGUGGCGAACGGGUGAGUAUCACGUGAGUAACCUGCCCCCUGCUCCUGGAUAACUGCUUGAAAGGGCGGCUAAUACGGGGUGUGCCGGCUGGUCCGCAUGGGCCUGGUCGGGAUAGUUUCAUCUUCGGGUGUUUCGGUGGGGGAUGGGCUCGCGGCCUAUCAGCUUGUUGGUGGGGUGAUGGCCCACGAAGGCGGUGACGGGUAGCCGGCCUGAGAGGUUGGGCGGCCAAGCUGUGACUGGGACCCGGGCCAGACCGCUGCGGGCGGCAGCUGUGGGGGGUAUUGCACAAUGGGCGGAAGCCUGAUGCAGCGACGGCGCGUGAGGGAUGGGGGCCGUCGGGUUGUGAACCUUUUUCUCCGGUGGUGAAGGCCCUGUCCGCUGCGGCGGGGUUGACGGUAGCCGGGUAUGAAGCGCCGGCUAACUACGUG